GCCGGGAUGGCAGAGUGGACCAAUGCGCAGGCCUUGAGAGCCUGUCACUCCUCAGCGGGUGGCGUGGGUUCAAAUCCCACUCCCGGCG
rnacentral:tRNA from 1 species